CACACUUGGUCGGCGAUGCCUCUCCCCACUCCUCUUGACAAGCUUUCCAUCCCAUCAACAUGGGUUUGGAGAGGCCUUUUCUGUGGCACACGGGAAAGGAAAAAGACAGGGGCUGCCAACAAGGGAUGAACGCAGUAAAACUUCAUUACUUUGUUAGUUAACGAAGGCAUUGAUCAUCCGGUUAGAUCGAUUUCGGUAUUUGCUGUAAGUCACCCAGUUCGUCCGUGUUCCUUUCGUAACUACUGUUUUAAGUCCAUACCUCGUCCUCCUAGCCCUCUAGACCAUCAGUGAAGUGUCCACAAGUCCUAUUUCCGAUACCAACUUUGAAGGACAGUUUAGGCGGAAAUAUCACGCAAUUCUGAAAAAGCCAAGGUGAUUUGGAGCCAGAAUCAACAUUAAAGACUAGAGCCGCCGGUGCUGGGAUACUGCUUGCAAAGUGUUAUCACGAUUAAAGAAGAGCCAUGAGCCACUCUUCCUCGCCGAACCGAGGAAGUUGAAACACGAUCAGAAAUCGAACGAGAGCUCUCGUUUUCUCCCUGGAUAAUCGGGCUGGGUUUCGACCAUUGUUUUAAGCCCUUGAUAGCUAUGAGACGUGAAGCGCGGAUAAUCCGCUGAAUCCUAGGAGGGCAGAAAAACACCAACAGAUCUAACCCAUAUU
rnacentral:sRNA from 2 species